rnacentral:rRNA from 1 species
AUUGAACGCUGGCGGCAGGCCUAACACAUGCACGUCGAGCGGAGCGGCGGACGGGUGAGUAAUACCUAGGAAUCUGCCUGGUAGUGGGGGAUAACGUUCGGAACCGGACGCUAAUACCGCAUACUAUCAGAUGAGCCUAGGUCGGAUUAGCUAGUUGGUGAGGUAAUGGCUCACAAAGGCUACGAUCCGGAACUGGUCUGAGAGGAUAAUCAGUCACACUGUAACUGAGACACGGUCCAGACUCCUACGGUAGGCAGCAGUGGGGAAGAUUGGACAAUUGGCGAAAGCCUGGUCCUGCCAUGCCGCGUGUGUGAAGAAGGGCUUCGGAUUGUAAAGCACUUUCAGUUGGGUGGCGUUACCGACAGAAUAAGCACCGGCUAACUCUGUGCCAGCAGCCGCGGUAAUUC